GUGCAGCAGGCGCGAAACUUUCCCAAUGCGCGCAAGCAUGAGGGAGGGAUUCAGAGUGCUUUCUCGUUUUUCGAGGGAGCUUUUCUAGAGUGUAAACAGCUCUAGGAAUAAGGGGUGGGUAAGACGGGUGCCAGCCGCCGCGGUAAUACCCGCGCCCCAAGUGGUGACCACGUUUAUUGGGCUUAAAGCGUUCGUAGCCGGUUUGGUAAGUUCUCAAUGAAAUCCUAUAGUUGACUAUAGGGCUUGUUGAGGAUACUGCCAGACUUGAGACCGGGAGAGGUUGAGGGUAUCAUUGGGGUAGGGGUUAAAUUCGAAUGACGUUCCCUUCGGAAUGUCUACCGAUUACAUUCCUAUAAUCCCAAUUAGACCACCUGUGGCGAAGGCGCUCAACCAGAACGGAUCUGACGGUGAGGGACGAAAGCUAGGGGAGCGAAGGGGAUUAGAUACCCCCGUAGUCC
rnacentral:rRNA from 1 species